UGACCCGGACGUGAAUUGAACACGCAACCUUCUGAUCUGGAGUAAGACGCGCUACCGUUGUGCCACUGAGCC
rnacentral:tRNA from 13 species